rnacentral:rRNA from 1 species
CAAUAGCGUAUAUUAAAGUUGUUGCGGUUAAAAAGCUCGUAGUUGGAGUUCUGCCAGGUGCCGCCUGUCCGCCCCAGUGGUGAGUACGUGGCGCGCAUUUGGCCCUUUCAAGGGGAGCGUAUUGCACUUAACUGUGUGGUGCGGGAUCCUUGACUUUUACUUUGAGGAAAUAAGAGUGUUCCAAGCAGGCUCUCGUCGUGCAUAGCUCAGCAUGGAAUAAUGAUAUAGGAUCUCGAUUCUAUUUUGUUGGUUUCUAGAAUUGGGAUAAUGAUUAAUAGGGACAAUUGGGGGCAUUCGUAUUAAUGCGUCAGAGGUGGAAUUCUUGGAUUGCAUUACGACGAACUACUGCGAAAGCAUUUGCCAAAGAUGUUUUCAUUGAUCAAGAACGAAAGUAAGGGGAUCGAAGACGAUUAGAUACCA